rnacentral:rRNA from 1 species
UACGUAUGGUGCAAGCGUUAUCCGGACUUAUUGGGUUUAAAGGGUGCGUAGGCGGAUCGUUAAGUCAGUGGUCAAAUUGAGGGGCUCAACCCCUUCCCGCCAUUGAAACUGGCGAUCUUGAGUGGAAGAGAAGUAUGCGGAAUGCGUGGUGUAGCGGUGAAAUGCAUAGAUAUCACGCAGAACCCCGAUUGCGAAGGCAGCAUGCCGGCUUCCGACUGACGCUGAAGCACGAAAGCGUGGGGAUCGAACAGG